AUUGAACGCUGGCGGCAUGCUUUACACAUGCAAGUCGGACGAGUGGCGUACGGGUGAGUAACAUAUCUGACCGUAACGAGUAAUGGGGGAUAACUAAUCGAAAGAUUAGCUAAUACCGCCUAUUAUUCGAGCGGCCGAUAUCUGAUUAGCUGGUUGGGGGGGUAAAGGCCUACCAAGGCGACGAACCGUAGCGGGGCUGAGAGGAUGAUCCGCCACACUGGAACUGAGACACGGCCCAGACUCCUACGGGAGGCAGCAGUGGGGAAUUUUGGACAAUGGGCGAAAGCCUGAUCCAGCCAUGCCGCGUGUCUGAAGAAGGCCUUCGGGUUGUAAAGGACUUUUGUCAGGGAAGCGGUACCUGAAGAAUAAGCACCGGCUAACUACGUGCCAGCAGCCGCGGUAAUUC
rnacentral:rRNA from 1 species